AUACAAUAUCUACAGUACAUAUACUAAAAUUGGAACGAUCCAGUGAAGAUUAGCCUGGGCCCUGCGCAAGGGUGACACGCAACAUCAUGAAGCGUUCCAUAGAUUU
rnacentral:snRNA from 1 species